rnacentral:rRNA from 1 species
UACGUAGGGGGCAAGCGUUGUCCGGAUUUAUUGGGCGUAAAGAGCUCGUAGGCGGUUUGUCGCGUCUGCUGUGAAAACUGGAGGCUCAACCUCCAGCCUGCAGUGGGUACGGGCAGACUAGAGUGCGGUAGGGGAGAUUGGAAUUCCUGGUGGUAGCGGUGGAAUGCGCAGAUAUCAGGAGGAACACCAAUGGCGAAGGCAGAUCUCUGGGCCGUAACUGACGCUGAGGAGCGAAAGCAUGGGGAGCGAACAGG